rnacentral:rRNA from 1 species
UACAGAGGUCUCAAGCGUUGUUCGGAUUCAUUGGGCGUAAAGGGUGCGUAGGCGGCUUGUCGCGUCGGCUGUGAAAACCCGCGGCUCAACUGUGGGCGGGCAGCUGAUACGGGCAGGCUGGAGUUCGGUAGGGGAGACUGGAAUUCCUGGUGUAGCGGUGAAAUGCGCAGAUAUCAGGAGGAACACCGGUGGCGAAGGCGGGUCUCUGGGCCGAUACUGACGCUGAGGAGCGAAAGCGUGGGGAGCGAACAGG